rnacentral:lncRNA from 1 species
CACAGACCGAUCGGCAACUUUCCAGACUCUCCUUCCAUAGCAUCGGUAGACUCCCUUGUCGUAGCCAUCGGCACAGACACAUCAACACCUAUGGACUUAGUCACGUUUAACAACCCCUCCAUCGGCAACCAUCCUCAUCAGCAACUCAUCCUCAUCGGCAACUCAUCCUGUAGACAAAACACUGCCGUCUUAUCUUGCCAACCUACACUUUACCAAUCAUGGACACGUGCCCAAAAACGGUGUCAACACAUGCCCCCCA